rnacentral:lncRNA from 1 species
AAUCAGUCCAUUUGCUCCUUACGGUGGUUGGUCUUCCAAUUUUGCCCUUCCACAUCUCACAUUCAAACCCACCACUCUCCCAUUUUUAAAGAAACGAAAUUGCCUGACCGGCCACUAAUUUCUUCCUCUUCCACCGGCGGCGACGGCGUGGAUCUAAUCGAAAACUCCCUACAGGUUCAAGACAACCAUGGAUCAAUAUUCUACUUCGGUUAGUGUUGGAAAUCUACCUUUCUUUUUCUACAGUUUUGCAAAACGAAUUCCUCCGACAAGAACACGCGACGACGGCAAAAUAGAUCGUAAAAGUAAUAUUAACUUUGAACUACCUGUUCAGUAACAUAAGAUAUCCACAACAUAGCAACAGUUUUUUAUUUUCUCUCGCACAUACCCGUUUCUUGGUAAAGCACCCCCAAUAUUCUGACUUAGGCAUAUAGAUUGGAACUAGAAUUUAAAAUUUUGUUGUUUGAUUCCUUCUUUUUUCAAUUUUGUAAUGAAAACCAACUAUAAUAUGCUUCUAAAUGUUUUCGUAUUGGGAAUUUAUACGAAUUUUGAUCUUCAUUAUGGUAAUUUUUUUUUUUUUUUGAAUAUUGUUUUGUACUAAAUUUGUGAAAUUCUUUAAUGGCAUUUAUGGUAUAAUUGUAUGUUAUUGAGUAGAGAGGAUUCCUGGGUUCGUUUUGGAAUGGGAACGUAUGAAUUUGUGAUAUAAUGUUCUGUUAUUAUUAUUAUUAUUAUUAUUAUUAUUAUUAUUAUUAUUAUUAUUAUUAUUAUUAUUAUUAUUAUUAUAUGCAAUGAGAAAGAUUGUUUUUGACAUUGCAUGUUUCCUUUGUUUUGAUUUCAGUAUUCAGUGCUCAAUUUGUUUUCUCAAGGUUCAUGUUAGUAUUUUUAUACUGAUUAAUUCUUUUAGGUUCUUUCAUACGGGGUUUGGAAUGCUGAGAAUUCGAAAUCAUGUUCUAUUCUUAUUAUUGAAUCUGCACCACAUGUCGGACAACUUGCACAUCUAUGUUACUUUUUCUAAGACUUCGUUGCACAUAUUUUGCAAAACAAUUUCUUCAGGAUAAGUUCCUAAGCCGAUACUGACAAGCCAAAGUUACUGUUUUCAGAUUCUAUUUCCUUUCUAGUGGGCAGUAGUUGUAGUGUUGUUAUAAAUUUAAAAUUUUGUAUGUUUACACGUACCAAUACUCCCCAUCUCAUGUUUAUUUCAUUUUCCUUCUCAGACGCAUAUGGGCUUCCACACUGCCUCGACUUCCAACCCCGAACCAAUCUCGCCCCAAGCCCAUGCGAAGAGGACUACCCAGUGGACGCCCGAAGAUAAUCGAGUCUUCAUUGCCGCCUGUGAGAUUGUAAUAGCCGAUGGGCACCGUAGUGGGAAGUGCUUCACAAAACAUGGCUGCCGCACAAUUGUCCAAUUGUUCAACGCCAACUCUGGGCACGAUUGGAGUAGGUAGCAGUUGAAGAAACAUUGGGAUUAUCUUCGGGUCAAGUAUAAACGUCUCCAGCACUUGAUAGACAGUACCGGCAUUGCGUAUGACUCUGCACGCAGCCGUCUAGUCACGUCCGAUGAGUGGUGGACACGAAAGAUUAAGGUACAAAUCUGCUUGAAUUGCCACUUUCCAAAUUCGAAUGUCAACCAAUACCCUAGUAUUCGUUUCAUUUGUAGAUAAUACUUUUACUCAAACAUGUCGCAGUUGGAGCAUAUGUCAUAAAAUUCAAUUGCGUAAUUCUGUAUUUUUAUUCCUUACGCGGCUCCUUACUCGUUGUGCAUUUAUGUUUCUUCCAUUCUAAACAGGAGAGCAAAGAGUAUAGAAAGUUCGAAGACAAAGACUGCAGAGAGAUAAACGCCUAUCGAGAUCUGUUUGCGGACGCAUUCGACAGCAAAAAGUACGCGAUGACACCGACGAAGCUGUGCAGGACCGAAUUCGCUAUGUUUGAAGGCAGUACAAACGACGACACGCGUGAUGCAAUGCCUAUGUACGAUGAGAGUAGCUGCUCCAGUGAUGAGGGCAACAAGUUAGACGGGCCCACUUCAAGCAUGGACAUCUCCGAUCGUAGGAGUGGAGAGAAACGUAGAUCUUGCUACAGUAAAAGCAAGGAGAAAGAACUAAAAUAUCGGCUAAGGAAUUGUCGUACUCAGUUGAUAAGGCCACGAUUGCAAGUGAGAAAGUUGUGGUAAAAAUCAACAACUUAGUCAGAUCCAAUGUUUCGAGCAUGAAGACAUACACGAAAGAGUUGUUCACAACUGGCAGUUUGCAAAAGAAAACUGACCUAUACUUUUGGACCUGCACGUUUCCGUCUUUAAAGUGGAACAAGGAAGUCCUGGAGACGUAGGAGGAUGCGAACGAGAAGAUGGAUUGGCUGAAGUGGAACUGGCAUGAGUACAGGAGAGGACGACCGCAGUGGCAACUGCAUGCAGGGUUGAAUAAAUUUUAACCAUUGUGGAAUGGGUGUUUGCUUUGUUAUUUUUUCAUUUUCGUCGGUGUGCAAUUCGUCAACUUUAGAAUAUUGUUGUUGUGUACUUUUUAAGAUUUUCUGUAUCCAUGUAUUUAGUACGAACUACUGAGAUUUCAUGUCCAUGUUUGUCAUUUGUACUUAUGCAAUGUUCACAAAGUUGCUUGUUAGUUUAAGUUUGUCAUCAAUUGUCAUGCAUAAUUGAGCAUCUCUAAC